UCCGCAUUACCGGUCUGGAGAUGAAAUCCACCUGGACCACAGGCCAGAGGAAAGCGGCCGAAUCCAGGUGGAUUUCAAAACUUAAAGCUAAGCCCACUCAAAAUCAGAAAAGUCAAUCUGCUUCCACCUUGAACAGAAAUGGCACAUCACGUCGUUGCGAACGACCACUCCACUUUGUGGGGAAUAUGUCCACUAACCACGAAUCUAAACGGCCAUACCUGGAAACAGUCCUGGAGGGCUGCUUAACUUGUCAUGCGCUAAUGGAUUCGGGUGCGACAAUAUCACUCAUCUCUCAAACAUUGUUUGAUGAUCUCAAAAGGGCUUUGAAGCCAACGUUUCGUUGGUUAAAAGUGGAACGAUGCGACACUAAACUUCGAGGGGUCACUCAGACUACCUCGCCUCUCACAUUGAGAGUCAUGCUGAAACUACACUUCCAGGACGUAUCGCUCGUUCACCCUGUGUAUGUUACCAGCCUCGAAAGUGUACCCCUGCUACUUGGAGCAGACUUGAUGGAUCGGUUACUCCCAUUGAUGGAUUGGAAAACCAACCAGGUAUGGUCACAGGCCACAGUGCCUUCUCCACUGACCACACUGUCUCCCCCUAACGCUAGCUGCAACGCAGUCCUUCACGAGGGGUAUCUGUCGAAAGCACCCCUUGGGAAAAAGACGUUUAGAAACCUCUUGGUACAGAAUCCGAUCCAAGGAGAUAUUACGAUAUCUUGACACAUUCCAUCAGCCAAUCUGAUUGACCAUUCUUUUCAUGAUUUCGAGCCAGCUGUCUCUGUGAAUGAGCAACUUCCCUCCUCCUUGCAGUGCAAUACGGUAGUUGAGAUGAACUUCUCUUGCCCUUCGGACACUUCCGCAAGCACUGCGGCCGUCUCAGCAAGAAAAACAUUGAUGCGCAGAGUACACUCUGCUUCCGAUGAUACACCUUCUGCUUUGUUGGGGACUGUCACCCCUUACAAUGACACUAAUGGCAUCAGUCCAGCAACUGACCCGAUGACUCCCAC
rnacentral:lncRNA from 8 species